UGGGGAAUUUUGGACAAUGGGCGCAAGCCUGAUCCAGCCAUGCCGCGUGAGUGAAGAAGGCCUUCGGGUUGUAAAGCUCUUUCGGCGGGGAAGAAAUUGCACUCUCUAAUACAGGGUGUAGAUGACGGUACCCGCAUAAGAAGCACCGGCUAACUACGUGCCAGCAGCCGCGGUAAUACGUAGGGUGCGAGCGUUAAUCGGAAUUACUGGGCGUAAAGCGUGCGCAGGUGGUUGUGUAAGUCAGAUGUGAAAUCCCCGGGCUCAACCUGGGAACUGCAUUUGAGACUGCACGGCUAGAGGAUGGCAGAGGGGGGUAGAAUUCCACGUGUAGCAGUGAAAUGCGUAGAGAUGUGGAGGAAUACCGAUGGCGAAGGCAGCCCCCUGGGCUAUUUCUGACACUCAUGCACGAAAGCGUGGGGAGCAAACAGG
rnacentral:rRNA from 1 species